CCAACAUGUCCCGACCAGAAAGUGAGCUCCCCAUGGAGUGUGGCUGUGGCUGCAUCGGCCUCUGGUGAAACCCACAGUCCCCGGCUGUACACACCGUGUAGCCCAUGCUCUGUGCUUACAUAUUAAUGAGAAAAUGAAAUUAACGUCUCAUAGCAACUCCAUAAUUUCCCAGGCACACCUGUCUUCUUCCUCUUGUAAUUGUGAGCCCACAGCCCUCGGAACUUUAAAACUGAUCAACAAUGAUAAAUAAUAGUGCUGGGAUUCUACACAGGUCAUGAGGAGGCCUAUUAUCCAGCAGGAAGGAUAAUUUCAUUCGGAAUUUUCAACAGGAUGCCAAAGCUGUGUGUCUUUCUUCUUUCCUCAAUGAGGGCAGGAUAAUAGACCAUUUUCCAAACAUAAUUGGGUUCAUAUUCUCCAUCUAAAUGACAAGAUGGACACAAGGAAGACUUGAGCUUAUUGUUUUUCCUUGAACAAUGAACUUGAUUUGUAAACCAUCUCAAAUUGUCCUUUCACUGCCCCAACAUCCUCAAUGUUCCUGUGUUGCUGCAUAUAUCCCAGAGUGGAUUCUCCUUGGCCAAACUUGGCUCGAGUGUCCGGUUUUGACUCAGUCCUUGUCACCAGAAGGACAGUGUGGUCAUGGCCACCCUUUGAUCCGGUAGGAAGUAUGGAGAAUAUCGGCUCUACUCAAACCAUGUUGCCUUUGCAUGGGGAAUGGAUGAUUCACUGAAGAAACCUGGAGUGCUAUUUCUAAACAAAGAGGGAAAGAAUGUGUUACUUUGGAACUUUUCUUUGGUCAAGACAUCUUAUUAAUCUGACAGUACAAAUAGCUUGCUAAUAACUCAGUGCAUUUGGGGAUCACAGAGACUGUCAUCCCUCUACAGCAUCAUCAAGGAGGAUACUGCAAACAUCUUCACUUAGGAUGGACAAUGGUUAGACAUUGGCUUUCAAGGCUGCCUGCAUCAACCUGCAGAGCACAUGUUGGAAGUUUUUUUUCUUCCUGGAAACAAAGCAGAAACCAGAAGGAAGACCCAUCUAUGGAAGACCUUCACAUACUAUGCUCCUCCUCAUAUUAUUUCUUUCAAUUUUCUCAGGUGCAAAGUCAUCUGGGAAAAGUUACAUAACAUUAUGGAACAAUAGGACUGCUUAUACUGCAUCAUUGUGAAGUAAUGAUGGUUCUCCAUUGCUAAGUGGGUGGAUUCUUCAUGACGUGCAAGGGUAGCCACAGUAAUGUGUGCUCCCCGUCCCAGCCACCAAGUGUGGAAUGCUGUCCACAACUUUUGAGGGAUUGAGCUCAGGACCUUGCACUUGGCAGGCCGGCGCGGUGCCACUGAGCUACAUCCAUGGCCCAUGCAUACAUUUUUCAUCUUACACACUGACUUUAGAAGCACAACCUCCGAGGGUAAGAGGGAACCGAGAAGAUAGAAAUAUGAAAAUGGUGUUCACCUUUGAGUCAGACUCUGCUCAAAAAGAAAGAGAAACCUAGAAUGGAUUCUACAUGAGAAUAAAAAAGCAGCCACCAACAUAUUAAAAAGGAAACCAUGGGCCAAAAUAAAAGCUGUCAAAAUUAAAA